UGCCAGCCGCCGCGGUAAUACGGAGGGUGCGAGCGUUAAUCGGAAUUACUGGGCGUAAAGCGCGCGUAGGCGGUUUAUUAAGUGGGAUGUGAAAGCCCCGGGCUCAACCUGGGAACUGCAUUCCAAACUGAUGAACUAGAGUACGAGAGAGGGGGGUAGAAUUCAGAGUGUAGCGGUGAAAUGCGUAGAUAUGUGGAGGAAUACCGGUGGCGAAGGCGACCUCCUGGCUCGAUACUGACGCUGAGGUGCGAAAGCGUGGGGAGCAAACAGGAUUAGAUA
rnacentral:rRNA from 1 species